CUUCCUCAUGCUACUCUUCUAAGUCUUCAUAUUUUCUCUUAAAAUCUUAAGCUAUUAAAAUUACGUUAAAAACUUAACGCUAAGCAAUAUCUUAGUAACCUAUUGACUAUAUUUUUUAAGUAGUUGUAUUAAUCUCUAUCUUUCAAAGAGAAAAAAACUUAUCUGCGGUUUCCUCAAGCUCCGCCUGCCCCCUCAGCAGAAGCCCCUGCGCUGGCUGCCUCAAUGCCUACCGCACAGCUCGGGCGAGGCGUAUUUAUAGACGGAGAACAACUCGCAUCACCGGAAUUCGAUCACCUUCCGCCGCCUUUGUGAGGGAGGCAAAAAGUAGUUCUUCGGUUAAAAAUAGGUUCUAGUUUUACUUUUCUAGAUUUUUCUUAACAGCUUAUGGAACUUGAAUGCAAACUACACAUGCAGAAAUACUUAAAUUACUAGCGUGUGGAAAGAUUUGAGCUGCAAACUUUAGACAAAAGAAACAUGGAAAUCAUAUUUUAAACGGGUCAUCAAACACCUCACAAAACCCCCGGAACUUUUAAAAUACCUCUUAAAGCACUUCUUGU
rnacentral:lncRNA from 1 species